rnacentral:rRNA from 1 species
CCUACGGGGGUCAGCAGUGGGGAAUAUUGGGCAAUGGGCGCAAGCCUGACCCAGCAACGCCGCGUGAAGGAAGAAGGCUCUCGGGUUGUAAACUUCUUUUGACAGGGAAGAGUAGAAGACGGUACCUGUCGAAUAAGCCACGGCUAACUACGUGCCAGCAGCCGCGGUAAUACGGAGGUGGCACGCGUUGUCCGGAUUUACUGGGUGUAAAGGGCGUGUAGCCGGGUUGACAAGUCAGAUGUGAAAUCCUGCGGCUUAACCGCAGAACUGCAUGUGAAACUGUUGAUCUUGAGUACUGGAGAGGCAGACGGAAUGCCUAGUGUAGCGGUGAAAUGCGUAGAUAUUAGGAAGAACACCAGUGGCGAAGGCAGUCUACUGGACAGCAACUGACGGUGAGGCGCGAAAGCGUGGGGAGCGAACAGGAUUAGAUACCCCAGUAGUC